rnacentral:lncRNA from 1 species
UUUGAAAUCAGAGGGCUUUCACAGCAGGGAAAUCAAAUGGGAAUUAAACUCAAGUGCAUUUAUUUAACAGAAAAGAGCAGGGAGGUUGUCACGAAUGAGCAUGAAACAUUUAUUGAGGUUCCUGUGAACAGAGGCUUGGCCACACAGCCUCUCUUACAUUAGUACAUGCACAGAGACAAUCCCUCUGCCACUCUCACUGUAACAGGAGAUAUAACGGAGCAGUUUCUUUUCCCACCAGACCGACUGUUGCUUUGCAAAUCAUUGCAAACCUCAAAGCUGCAGAGGGAACAUGCCCACAGGACUGUGUGACCUCAGCAUGGGCUACGCGGCAGCCACCUGCUGGGAAGAGCUAAGGAGUGUCCAAAUGCUUUGUGUGGCAAAUCAAAGUCAGCUGAACAGCCUGAUUAACCUGCUGGGGAGGUUAGAAGAGGCAGAUGGGUGGCAGCAGAAAGAUUGGACUGAGAGGGAGAGCUAUGUUGGGCUGCUCCUUGAACGAUGCUAGAAAUAACACGUCUGGAUACCUAGGAGGAUCUCAGUCUCUGUGCUGAUCCUUGCAGCACUGUGGUUACUGCACAGCGUGUCUGCAGCACGAGUCAGCUCUGACAGGCAGUGAUGCUUUUCUGCAGUUGCUGGCUUUAAGAGUGCCAAACCUGAAACCUCUGAUCUGGAAUGUGAUUUGCAAAUCCACCCAAGCAGAUACUUCUGGAGAGAUGAAGCACAGUCAGAAGUUGGAUCCAACCUUUUUCCAGAAAUGGGGUUGGAUGUGAGGUGAGACUUGAUUUUUAUGUUGUGUGAUCAUAAAAGCUUAGAUUUUCAAGGCAUGUAAAUCAUUUAACUCUUGUCAGAUGCUCUAAGCUUUCUUAAACAUGACAUGCACAAAUCAUUAGGAACAUCCAGAUUGUAAUCUAGAGCUUAUAAUCACAAGCCUGGUUGAGUUUGC